rnacentral:lncRNA from 1 species
CGGGGAACCACCUGCGGCUCCCGCGGCCGCCGCGCCCAGCGCCCAGCGCCUGCGGGCGGUGGCAGCCCGGGUGCCUCAGCGCACCCUGCCGGGGCCCGCACGGCCACACAGUCCCGGAGCUCCCACGUCGCCGCCCACUCCUCUUCGAAGCUCAAGGGCGGUGGGCCAGAGCCUCCGCCCGUCCCCCAGGCUGGGGUGGAGCGCUGCGCGGGCGCGAGGGAGACGGAGGCGCUGGGACCGCUCCGGUUGCUCACCUGCGCUCCUGCCCUCUGGUAGCAGUGAGUCAGGCGCGCCCCGCCCCACGGGGAACGCCCCAGGCCCUGUCUGGGUCCUACUGGUCUCUCCCCUGGAAAGCGACCAAGGUUUCUGGGCCAUUUCGGUGGGCUUGAGAGAAGAAGUCAUUAAAUCAUCCUGUGGCCAGGGAUUCUGUAGCCAACCAGGAGUCCUACCUAGUCCCAGUUGGAAAAAGCAUCGAAGUCCUCUUCAGAGAGCUUGAGGCUUCCUACCCCUCCAACUGGAAAAGUCCUGGCUGAUGUGUGCCUAAUCUGUUUCUUUACCCAAGCAUGAGAGUUGGCCAGCGGGGUACCAAAACCUAGAUUGCUGAAUUCGGGGCCUGGAAGACUGUUAAACUAAAUGCUGUUGAGAUGGUGGUCAUGGGACACCCAGCUAACUCAAACCUUCUGGUAAGAAGUAUUUCAGGAGACUGGGUCCAAUAUCCCGAAGCGAAAAUCCCACUGGCCUCAUCGCUAUGUUUGCUCAGAAAAGGAAUCUCAGUUCUUUGGUUUCUUGCCCCGCAACUGACCCUCAUUGCUGUACUGUUACAUGGCCCUUUGGGAAUCAGUCUCCCAGAGUGGUGCUGAUUGUAAAAUAUGUAAGUGUAUUCGUUCUCUCGGGCGCAGGAGCAAUGCAAGGCAGAUGCACUUGAGGAGAGCUCCACUGAAUAAAAUUGAGCAGACAGAAUGUAUUUUUAUUUAUUUAUCAUUUGUUUGUUUUUGCACUUUCCCUCUUGCAUGGUUGCUUUUACAAUAUGCAUUAGUAAUAAUCUAAUACCACCUACUGGGAUCAUCUUCAGGGUUGUUAAUGAAGCACAAAGGAACUGCUGCAGUGGGUGAAAAAAAAAAUGCUUUGAAAUUUGCAGAGUGCUUUGAAACAUUGUAUGAACAUCA